rnacentral:rRNA from 1 species
CAGCACCUCAAGUGGUCAGGAUGAUUAUUGGGCCUAAAGCAUCCGUAGCCGGCGCUGUAAGUUUUCGGUUAAAUCUGUACGCUCAACGUACAGGCUGCCGGGAAUACUGCAGCGCUAGGGAGUGGGAGAGGUAGACGGUACUCGGUAGGAGGGGGUAAAAUCCUUUGAUCUAUUGAUGACCACCUGUGGCGAAGGCGGUCUACCAGAACACGUCCGACGGUGAGGGAUGAAAGCUGGGGGAGCAAACCGGAUUAGAUACCCGAGUAGUCC